UUGGCCUUCCUUCGCUAUAGAGGGAGGAAAAUUGCCUGAAUAUUUCGUCAGGAGUUUCUUGAGGGUUAUCCUUCAUGAAUCUUCGGUGCCACAUCAAGGGUUCUUCUAAUAAGUUAUGAGAGAACAUCAUCUUAAGUUGGUUGGGUCGGUCUCGCAGUGUGUGGACCAUCAAUAAGUAGGACUUGAUAUGUGCCUCAGGAUCCUCUUUACCUGAAAAUCUGUUUCUGAACUAUGGAAUCAGAAUCCCAACUGGUAGAUCAUCUAGGUUUCCUAGAAUUUCUUGUACAUAAGCUUUAGGAAAUGAGAAAUCUCGUAUUCUCAUUUUCUCUAAAGAUUCUUGGAGGUGUUUCAUACUAGUGAAUUGAGUCAUCGUUGUAGCUUUAAGCUGGCUCGAUUGUAUGGUUUGUUGAACAUGAUUUUGUGGUAUGUGACUCAUAUGAACCAACUGUUGGGCCCAUGUAGCAGGUUGCCCCAAGGACUUAGCUUGAGGAAUGUGUUGAACUUGAUGUGCCAGUUGUCAGCUUGUAGGCUGACCCGAGUUGAAUUGGGUCAGAGCAUAGCCAUUACUCGAAUGUUGCACAACUUGCCCAUGCAAGGAGGCCUGCAGGAUAGGAUCACCGCUUAACUUGGGUGAAUGACUCAAGUUGCUAUGACGACUAGACCUCUGACCUUGGGCAACUCGAUCUACUUGACCUUGACCUUGAUUGAAUGAUUUAUUCCUACGGUUAGGGUAUUCUCUUGCCCCAACACUAGACUGAAAGAGUGAAGGGAUGCCGUAACUACUGCCAGAGGGAGUCUGCCUUUUAGGUAGUCUUGGACUCAAGUGAUGAUUAGAACUAGACCCGUAGCCCAUAGUGGGUUGGAUUGGCAGACUAUCAGCCCUAGGAUUAUCCUGGUUUGAGCCAAAUGUUGGACUUCGCCUACGACUUAAAUUUUUUAUCAAACUUUCUUGGAUUGAGUGCGUUGGAUGGUGUAUCCUUUAUUGAGCAGGUCUUGAAAGUAAGCAUUCACUUUAGGAUUAUCUUUAUAUCGAGUUAGAUCAAAACCUUGAUCUUUACUGGUGAUGGGUUGCUCGGGUAGACUUUCCCUAGUUGUAUAUGAACCCACUCGCCCACUAACUGGCUGAUUGCCAAGACUAGAAUGUUAGGCUACUAUAUGACCAUCGAGGUCCAUACAACUGAGAUCGGCUGACUCAGAGAUUUAGGCUGGGGCCUUAUUCCUUUGUGCUGACUGGAUUUGAGGUUAACCCCUAUGUCUUGGAGGAAUGCCCCACACCCUUGACUAUUCAGGGUAUUACGAACCUUAUUAACCUGUUGGCUCGUGACUUCUAAAGGGUGACCUUGAAGACGUCUUAGACAACUGCUAGGUUUGGUUUUAGACAGGUCGAGAGUCGGCUCACUGACACGAGUGCUAUGGGUGAUCUAUGAGGGAGCACUGUGACAGUGCCUCUCGGACAGACUAGGUUCUUUGGAUCUAGACUGAGCAGGGGCCAUAGGGUUGGACUUUGCUCUGCCAUGGGUCAUAAUUCAUAGACUUGGUGAGAUCUAGACUCAACGCCUUAUGGUAGACCGACUAUGUCUCUAGGGGAAAAACCCUAACUAAGAUCUAGGCUAGUACUAGAUUGGAUGAAAUCUGCUAGACCCAAUGGGUUUUGGUUUAAACUCUGAACUAGGGUAAGCCUAGUUUAGCUCUAGAGGUAACUCUAAGCUUAGACCUAUGUUAGAACCUAGACCUAGACUAGAUGGGUACGAGUGGGUCUGGGUUCAGACCUGGGUAUGAGCUUGGUUCGGACCUAGACUGAGCUGGGUGCAAAUCAGGGCUUAGACCAAGAGGGUUGUGAUAAUCAGACCAGGUGUGGACUCGGACUGCAUCAAAGUUGGUUUAGGCACGAGCCCUUGGCUUCGACCAAAAGGGGGCCUAGGUUCAGACCUGGGUAUGAUCCUGGUUCAGACCUAGGUUAAGCUGGGUAUAAGCCUGAACUUGGACUCAGAGAGUUUUGAUGAUCAGACUAGGUGUGGACCUGAACUGGAACAAGGAUGAACUAGGAAUGAGCCCUCGACUUGGACUAAGAGGGAGCUUAGGUUCAGACCAGGGUGUGAACCUGGUUAGGACCUGGGUUAGGCUGGGUACAAGCUUGGACAUGGACUUAGAGAAUUUUGAUGAUCAGACCCGGUAUGGACCUGGAUUAGAUCAAAGAUUAGCUAGGAACGAGCCUUCGGCUAGGACCCAAAGGGGGCCAAAGUUAGGACCAAGGCGAAACCUGGUUCGUACCUAGGCUAAGCUGGGUGCAAGCCUGGACUUGGACCCAGAAAGUUCAACUCGGACUAAAAGCUGGUCCGGACUGGGAUCUAAGAUUUACCAAUAAAAAUAAGCAAGCAAGCACACAAAAACUUUUGACCUAGUAUUACAGGUAGGCUUGUCUUGAGAGUGGGUUCCUAACUAUUGAAAUGUAGCUACGCUGAAAUAAGUCCCCACAUAGGUCUUGGCCUCCUGUUAUAGGAUGUUCACCAGGUCCUACUAUACACGGAGUUGCUUUGAGGCAAAGGAUUACGGAGGGGCACUCACAGUUAAAGUUACGCGAAUCCUAACUGCCUCGACUCUCAAAGCUAGGUUCCUCUCACGCCAUUAAUGCGAAUCUUGGGGGUUUUUGAAAUAUUUUUUUGUUGGUUUCCUGGGCACUCCCAGUCCGGUGUGUGCUGGAUUGUGUAAAGAAGCACGCAAUUAGAAUAAAGUCAAGUACACAAUGCACAAAAACAAGAAAGGAAAUAAGUGAGCGCUCAGCACUAAUCGUGCUUAGUGAUACGCCCUUCGAGGCGAAACUAGCUCAAAGCACAGUAUAGAUGGAGGUGUAAGUAACCCUUAAGAAGGUAAAGUCAGAGCAAUG
rnacentral:lncRNA from 1 species